UGAGAUUCCGUUUAAUUCUGUGUUUUUUCCGGAUCUUCAAAAACGUUUAAUUUAAUAGAUUUCCAAUGUAUAAAAGGUGAAAUUAUGAUUGUUUCUUGUAUUGCCGUAAGUGUUUGCUCAUUAUUUUACAAGAAAACCAUUCAAACAUUUGUUUCUAUUUUCAAACAUGAACAAAGUGCCUGCUCAUUUUCACUGCACAUAUGUUGAGGUUAGGGUUCUCUGUGGAUGAUUUUUGACAUUUCGAAUAACCUUGGACUUGAUCUAUAGAGUA